GACUCGAUGGCGGAUGGUCCGCGCCUGCUUUCACUGUGCACAUCAUCUUUAGGUUUAACUUUAAGCGGGUGUUCCUGGUUCGAAUCCGGGUCGAGUCU